GGGUCGAUGGCGUAGUUGGUUAUCGCAUCUGUCUUACAUCGCAUUCAUCGAUUGUGUGCACAGAAGGUCCUCAGUUCGAGCCUGGGUCGACUCA